rnacentral:rRNA from 1 species
AUUGGACAAUGGACGAAAGUCUGAUCCAGCUAUGCCGCGUGCAGGAUGACGGCCCUACGGGUUGUAAACUGCUUUUAUACAGGAAGAAACACCCCGACGUGUCGGGGCUUGACGGUACUGUAAGAAUAAGGAUCGGCUAACUCCGUGCCAGCAGCCGCGGUAAUACGGAGGAUUCGAGCGUUAUCCGGAAUCAUUGGGUUUAAAGGGUCCGUAGGCGGUUUUUUAAGUCAGAGGUGAAAUCCUGCAGCUCAACUGUAGAAUUGCCUUUGAAACUGAAAGACUUGAGUUAUUGUGAAGUGGUUAGAAUGUGUGGUGUAGCGGUGAAAUGCAUAGAUAUCACACAGAAUACCAAUUGCGAAGGCAGAUCACUAACAAUAUACUGACGCUCAGGGACGAAAGCGUGGGUAGCGAACAGGAUUAGAUACCCUGGUAGUCCACGCCGUAAACGAUGGAUACUAGCUGUAUGUCUACCUCAGGUAGAUGUGUGGCCAAGCGAAAGUGAUAAGUAUCCCACCUGGGGAGUACGAUCGCAAGAUUGAAACUCAAAGGAAUUGACGGGGGCCCGCACAAGCGGUGGAGCAUGUGGUUUGAUUCGAUGAUACGCGAGGAACCUUACCAGGGCUUAAAUGUAAUGGGACAGAUUCAGAGAUGGAUUUUUCUUCGGACUCAUUACAAGGUGCUGCAUGGUUGUCGUCAGCUCGUGCCGCGAGGUGUCAGGUUAAGUCCUAUAACGAGCGCAACCCCCAUCGUUAGUUGCCAACGAGUAAUGUCGGGAACUCUAACGAAACUGCCGGUGCAAACCGUGAGGAAGGUGGGGAUGACGUCAAAUCAUCACGGCCCUUACGUCCUGGGCUACACACGUGCUACAAUGGUCGGUACAGAGAGCAGCCACUUCGCGAGAAGGAGCAAAUCUUCAAAACCGGUCUCAGUUCGGAUCGGAGUCUGCAACUCGACUCCGUGAAGCUGGAAUCGCUAGUAAUCGGAUAUCAGCCAUGAUCCGGUGAAUACGUUCCCGGGCCUUGUACACACCGCCCGUCAAGCCAUGGAAGCUGGGAGUGCCUGAAGUCGGUAACCGAAAGGAGCUGCCUAGGGUAAAACUAGUAACUGGGGCUAAGUCGUAACAAGGUAGCCGUACCGGAAGGUGCGGCUGGAACACCUCCUUUCU